rnacentral:rRNA from 1 species
UACGGGGGGGGUAAGCGUUGUUCGGAAUUACUGGGCGUAAAGGGCUCGUAGGCGGCCAACUAAGUCAUACGUGAAAUCCCUCAGCUUAACUCGGGAACUGCGUCCGAUACUGGCGGGCUUGAAUCCGGGAGAGGGAUGCGGAAUUCCAGGUGUAGCGGUGAAAUGCGUAGAUAUCUGGAGGAACACCGGUGGCGAAGGCGACAUCCUGGACCGGUAUUGACGCUGAGGCGCGAAAGCCAGGGGAGCAAACGGG